GUCCACGCCCUAACGAUGGAUACUAAGCAGGGGCUUAUGCAAGUAAGUCCCUGCCGGAGCGAAAGCGUUAAGUAUCCCGCCUGGGGAGUAUGGUCGCAAGGCUGAAACUCAAAGGAAUUGACGGGGCUCACACAAGCGGUGGAGCAUGUUGCUUAAUUCGAUGCAACGCGAAGAACCUUACCCGGGCUCGAAGCGCAAGGAUUAGUUCCGUGAAAGCGGAAUGACGCUCGCAAGAGUGGAACUUGUGUAGGUGUUGCAUGGCUGUCGU
rnacentral:rRNA from 1 species